GAUGAACGCUAGCGGCAGGCCUAACACAUGCAAGUCGAGGGGGAGGUUACUUUCUGGUUACUGAGACCGGCGUACGGGUGCGUAACGCGUAUACAAUCUGCCUUUCCCUGGGUGAUAGCACGAUUCAAUUUGGAUUAAUACCCCAUAGUAUAGUAAUACGGCAUCGUGAUGCUAUUAAAGCUUUGGUGGUGAAAGAUGAGUAUGCGUUCUAUUAUCUAGUUGUAGAGGUAACGGCUCCCCAAGGCGAGGAUAGAUAGGGGUUCUGAGAGGGAUGUCCCCCACAGGGGGACUGAGAUAAGGACGAGACACCUACGGGAGGCAGCAGUGAGGAAUAUUGGAGAAUGGUAGGAAGACUGAUCCAGCCAUGCCGCGUGCAGGAUGAAGGUCUUAUGGAUGGUAAACUGCUGUUGUAAGAGAAGAAUAAGGGCUACGCGUAGGUUGAUGACGGUACCUUACGAAUAAGCAUCGGCUAACUACGUG
rnacentral:rRNA from 1 species